CCUACGGGAGGCAGCAGUAGGGAAUCUUCCACAAUGGACGAAAGUCUGAUGGAGCAACGCUGCGUGAGUGAAGAAGGGUUUCGGCUCGUAAAGCUCUGUUGGUAGUGGAGAAAGAUGGAGGUAGUAACUGGCCUUUAUUUGACGGUAAUUACUUAGAAAGUCACGGCUAACUACGUGCCAGCCGCCGCGGUAAUACGUAGGUGGCAAGCGUGGUCCGGAUUUAUUGGGCGUAAAGCGAGUGCAGGCGGUUCAAUAAGUCUGAUGUGAAGGCCUUCGGCUCAACCGGAGAAUUGCAUCAGAAACUGUUGAACUUGAGUGCAGAAGAGGAGAGUGGAACUCCAUGUGUAGCGGUGGAAUGCGUAGAUAUAUGGAAGAACACCAGUGGCGAAGGCGGCUCUCUGGUCUGCAACUGACGCUGAGGCUCGAAAGCAUGGGUAGCGAACAGGAUUAGAUACCCGGGUAGUC
rnacentral:rRNA from 1 species